AUGGCUAGGAUUUGUGAUGUGAGAGGUUGAGGAGAGAAGCAGAGCAGCGUCACAGGAAGAAAAGGAUAAGUUUGAUUUUUUUUGAUGAGAGAUAAUUUUAUUUGAAAAUUUAUUAUCAAAUAAUCAAAAAAUGAUAAUUUGAAUAACCAUCUCCUUUCAAAACUAUCUAGAUUGCCUGCAAUGUGAAUUGUCAAGACAAUCUAAAUUAUCUAGAUAAUUUAGAUUGUCAUCUAAAAAAUAUAUUAAAUAUAAUAAUUUAAUAAAUUUAUUUUAAAUUACUAAUAAUUUUGAUAGAUUGUCGGCUAUCAAAUGUAACC
rnacentral:lncRNA from 1 species